rnacentral:rRNA from 1 species
GACGAACGCUGGCGGCGUGCUUAACACAUGCAAGUCGAGCGGUAAGGCCCUUUCGGGGGUACACGAGCGGCGAACGGGUGAGUAACACGUGGGUGACCUGCCCUUAGCUCUGGGAUAAGCCUGGGAAACUGGGUCUAAUACCGGAUAUGACUCCAUGACGCAUGUUGUGGGGUGGAAAGCCUUGUGCGGCUAGGGAUGGGCCUGCGGCCUAUCAGCUUGUUGGUGGGGUGAUGGCCUACCAAGGCGACGACGGGUAGCCGGCCUGAGAGGGCGACCGGCCACACUGGGACUGAGACACGGCCCAGACUCCUACGGGAGGCAGCAGUGGGGAAUCUUGCGCAAUGGGCAAAGCCUGACGCAGCGACGCCGCGUGGGGAUGACGGCCU